rnacentral:rRNA from 1 species
AUUGAACGCUGGCGGCAGGCCUAACACAUGCAAGUCGAGCGAGCGGCGGACGGGGGAGUAAUGUCUGGGAAACUGCCUGAUGGAGGGGGAUAAAUCCUGGAAACGGUAGCUAAUACCGCAUAACACCAGAGGUGCCCAGAUGUGAGUAGCUAGUAGGUGGGGUAACGGCGCACCUAGGCGACGAUCCGUAACUGGUCUGAGAGGAUGAUCAGUCACACUGGAACUGAGACACGGUCCAGACUCCUACGGGAGGCAGCAGUGGGGAAUAUUGGACAAUGGGCGCAAGCCUGAUCCAGCCAUGCCGCGUGUGUGAAGAAGGUCUUCGGAUUGUAAAGCACUUUAAGUUGGGAGGCGUUACCCACAGAAUAAGCACCGGCUAACUCCGUGCCAGCAGCCGCGGUAAUAC